ensembl:lncRNA
CAUCAUUCAUCUUCCUUCAAAUCUCUAGCCAGGGCUUCACAGGGCUUGGCAGCUCAAUUUCCUUUCAGCCUACUGGAUGAGACAGAAGGGUCCACCGGUCACUUAUCUAAGCAAAGCACAUUGGGAGCCAUUAGAACUUGCGCCACCCGGCAGACUGUUCUGAACCAGAGAGGAGAAAUCAAGGCUGCCUCACCAUAUGAGACUCAGCAGCUGGAGUCCAGAAAUGAUUUUUUUCGAUGAAUUUAGGAUUUUGCCGCAGUAUACAUCUGCAGUCCCAGAAUCCUCCGGUAAGUUAAUCCUUCUUUCGAUGGGAAACGCCUUUAACCUUCUCGUGAAUGAAAUAUCUGCAACCAUUUUGAAAUUUUUAAUAGAGGAGGGUGUGUGUAUAUGUGUGUGUUUGGGGGGGGGGCAGUUUAUGUCUCCAAAGCAUGAUUUUAUAGCAAUGCAGCGGUAUUUGUCUUAGUUCUUAGAAACACUAAGAAACAUACCUUUGUGCUCUUUGAAUAUCAUGGAUGAUGUCUCCAUUACUUCUCCUUACACUUUCUAUCUAUGGUAGCAUUAGAAAGUACUUCCUUAGUAUGGUAAAGACUGUUGUGUCAAACUAGUGAAGGCCUGCAGAACACAUAACUCCAAGCACGAAAAGUGUGCCUGGCACAUCUGAAGCGGCCAUGAACAUAACCACCACGGCCGCUGCCACGCCACCACCAUGACCAUCGCCUCCCACCACCUUCACUGCCCCUCCCUCAUUCCGCAGUGCACACCAGGCACAAGCUUUCCACAGUGACUUUCUGCCGAAUUUGCCCAGUGGGUUCCUAGAUGACUUCUGUGUGCGAGAAUAGCCAACCAUAUAGUCUGACAUGAGGUAUUUACAACUACUUAGCCUGUUCAGCUGGAAAGAAAUCAAAAGAUAACACUGAACCUUGAGAUGAUGGAUUGCAAAUCAAAAGCCCCCAUCCAUAAAGAGCCCACUUGAUGAACUGCUAAAUGAAAAGGCUGAUUCUAAUUUUUGUCCAGUCUUUGCAGGCUGUCUGAAAAGAAAAAUUUUUGAGCCAGCCUUCUUAGAGAGUUGGCAUUCAUUGUUUAUAAACGUAUGGAGUAUUAUUUCGUCUUACCUUUCUGCGGGGAGGAUUCUUCCCAAGGAGAUUCAGAUUGUCCAGAAGAGACCACACCCUCGUUUCACUGUUUUCUACUGUUUCUCUUUCUUUUCAAGGAGGGCUUAUUAACAAUCACAAUUAUACAUUCAUUUAGGGGUCCUCAUCAAAAGGAGCCAAGCAUCCAUUUCUUUCUGUCUAAAGGAAGCUCAUUGUUUUAGCGUUCAAUAAAUGUUUAAUUAGUGGAUCUGAUAGAUUUAACCAUCUUGAAAAGUAAACGGGCCUUCUUGACAAUGUUGCCUUGAUCAUCGUUUCCGUCCGAAGUGCAAAAACAAUCUGGGCUUUUAUUUCUUCGCCUAAAAGGUGAUUCAAAGGCAUAUAUUUUAGUGAAGGGACGCUGUACCUUCCUUCAGCUUCCAUGGAGCCACUGCUGGGUGUGCCAACGGUCUGAUAUCAUGACAAGCAAUAUUUUCUCUGCUAAACCAGCUGGAGACCCUUUUGGUUUCUAGGAACACAGCCUGAAAUUUAGGACCAUUUGUCCUCUGCAGUUUCACAAAAUGGAUUAAUUUACGUCAAACUCAAGUGGCUGGCUUUGGAAGGAAAAUGUGUAAGAAGAUAACCAAGUAUUUUUAAUGAAUGUAUGACCCAAGUUCAGUUGUUAAACAUCAUUUUUACAAAAUCAUUUCACCAACUCCUCAGGUAUUUUGAUGCUUGUAUUUCUUGUUGGUUUAAUGAUAAUAUUUGUCUUCACUUCAGAGAAGCUAUUCAUCUCAUAUUUUUGGUGAGACAAUUGGAACAAUUUUUAUUGGGGGGGAAUAAGCAAAUAAAAAUUCAGAGCAAUUUGUUAAAUUCAACUAAUUUGUCUGAGUGCUAGUUACCCAGUAGUUCUUCAGUACACUUAAAUGUGAUGUGAAAAUAGCUUGCUGCAUUGUUGCAAAAUUUUACAUUUCCUUUACUAACAUGUGUUUGCUUAAAGUAUUACUAGGGAUUUUAAAUAUUAAUUAUAAAUUUAGAUUAAGACAUCUAAAUUAUAGAGAAAUGCUUCAAUUAUUUUGUCAUCUAAAAAGAGAAAUACGAAUAUAGGAGAGUUUUUAUCUUUUAGAUGUCCUAAUGGUGUAAAUAUUUCUUAAUCAGUUUUAAUGGUGUGCCUUGUUCAGCAAAACAAAAAGCAAAAACUGAACACAGAAAAAGGAAACCUCUGUUAAAAAAUUAAUAUUUAUUAGUCAUCUGAUUUUACAUAUAUGACUUUAAUCAACUGCAUAUAUGAAGAUUAAAAUUGGGGAUCAGUACCUGAAAAAUGCCAUUGAUACUUUUAAGUUUAUAUUAGAAACACUGCUUUGAUAAAGUAUCUUUUUCUGCUCAAUCAGUUCAAAUUAUGACCAGAUGAUUAAUCACAACCAUCCUCUACUCUUAAUUCUACAGAACUACUGGCAAAGACACAAAUGAGAAAGUCAUUGUAGACAAUGGGUCUCACUGAACAUCAUUUGAGUCUGUGGACUUUUUCCACUGCAGGGGCCCACUACAGCUAUGGUGCUAGCCAGCAGUUAACAUUAUCACUGGUAUAUAAUAAAAUAUAAUUAAGAUAGGGGGAAAAUUGAAUUUUUAAAGAACAUGUUGGCCCUGAAGCAUUAGCUAUACCUAAAACUGCACAAGCUACUCCACAAUUGAAUGAGAGGGUUUCCUGCCGUACCUAUGUAUAAAGACCUAUUGUUUGCAUGCAUUAAUUACAAAGAUAAAAGCCUCAAGAUAACUUUCACUGUUGCUUUUUGUACUCUCUCCAUUGUUUUGGAGGAAAAAUAAGCAUCCAACAAUAGACUAGAGAAAGUGAAUCGAUCAUAAUUGUUUCAGCUUUGACAAACACCAAACCUGCUGAUUACAAUGGAGACAUUUCCAAGGGAAAACAAGACCCAACUUCAGCCUAUUCAAACGAAUUAAAAAAUUUUUUUGAAGAAUAGAAAAUGAGUUUUAAAAAAUUAGAAGCUGCUUAAUGGAUAGCUCUUUCCAUGAACAACGAACUUGGAUUUCUCAAAGAAGUAAUACCCUAGAAAUAAACUUAGAAUGAAAGAAAAAUCCACCACCACCCCCAAUAUACUGAUACUUAGUAGCAAAGUGGAACCAGUUAAAAAUGGAAACUGUAAGAAUUAACCUAAUUGGCAGGGCUGUGGAGCUAGUCCAUGUCUAUCAGUCAUUUGUUCAGUUAGGGACUCCUAAGGACUUGUUGAAUUGCGGGCUAGGCGCCUAUCCUAACGAGAGUUCGCAGCCUUCACGAGCGGGGAAAGCCGGCGGCUCGGCCGGGUGCUUCAUUCCCAGAUUCAAGAUGAACAGCCGGUAGGGAUGCGAGAUCCACGACCUGGACCGUGGGGGGCUCUGAGGUGAUGUGCGGCUUGGCUGCGAGCCAAGUCCUGCAGAGAGCUUGGGGCCCAGACUGCAACGGCAGCGGAAGCACGAACGCGCCGGGGUCCCCUGACCGGGAGCAGGGCGGCGGCGGCGUCCGGCAGAGUCCAGAGCGGGUGGGCCCAGACCUCAGCUCCGGCAUUGCCGCCGCCACCUCGGCCCUGAACUUUCACCCCCCAGGGACGUGUGCCGCCUGCCCCGCAGGGCCGGGGUCCCGAUGCCGCCUCCCGCCGGUAGCCGGCAGCGCGCAGCCAGCCUCGCAUCUGUUCUCAUGGCCCGGGGCAUGCGCGAGGCCGGGGCGUCGGGCUCGGGACAGUGGAGAAUACCGGUGUCGCCCUCCCUCCAGCCCACCCC